GAUUUCUUUGUUGUUUCCAUGGAUGAGUCUGUAAGAAGGACCUCUGAUUCCCUGAGAAGCCAUGAACCUCUGUGUUCGAGUUGGAGUCCACCAUAGUUUGUGAACUAUCUUGAUGAAGAUCAAAGCCAACAGAAGAAGAAAGGUGCGUCGCACGUGAUUGAGAGAUUAUGGAUUCACAUGUAACGUGGACCCGCCGGAUGGGGAGGUGAUUUGGAUUUUGGAGGAAUGGUCCGGAGUUGAUGACCGGCUAUGGCCUCCGUUACUUUCAUGACAAUCCAACGGUAGAGAAAGCCUACCCGUGCGAGAUCCUUUCCUCCUCAACCAGGAACUGUAGCUUCAAAGAGGGGGAUUUCUUCAUCUCAAAAAAAAAAAAAGAAAAAAAGGGGGAUUUCUGGCUUUGCGUGCGGAGAUACCUGUUAUAACCGGUUUUCUAGUAUAACUUAGAUGCAUGUGCGUAGCACGUGCCCGCAGACAGAGAUUUGGAUAAUUACAGUAGUCAGUACACUGACCACGACCCAAGCUAGUUGCCACAUUUGACCAAGACCUUUCAUUGCCAAAAGAAAAAGAUUAAAAAAAAAAAAAAAAAAGACCACCACCUUAGACUAAAAGAUUACUUUCCGAAUAUCAAGUCUAUCUCAUUUCAUUUUGCCCCCCCUAAAACUUCAUUUUUUUUUGGUCUCACGACAAAACUGUAUUAUUUAUCUAUGGUGUUAGAGAAGUUAUAAGUUCAAAUCCUUGCUUUCCUAAAAUCAAAAAAUAUAUAUUGAUUGGUCUCACUUGACACCUUGAGGAUUUGAAAGAAUGUAUCUUCUAGAAAAUGUUGAAAACAAAA